rnacentral:lncRNA from 1 species
UGUGGCCUCCUCCCUACCUGCUAACAUUUAGGCCUCAGCACAUCCGGUGGCUAGAACUAGCAAUCACACAUUAGUAAGCAAGUUCAUUUCCAUUUCCUGAUGGAUGAAUUUAUCUUGGGAACAUUUGAGAUGGGUACAUACCUCCCAGAGCCCGACUUGGGAGAAAUCUGUCAAAAAUAUCAAGAGGCUGAGCCUUGUCUUAGAAAGGGGCUUCAGAAAUGCUUGCAUGGGCGGCGGCUUCUUCCCGGGGCAAAGGUCUGGUGGAGCUGCAGGGCCUUGCUCCCAGGAUGGUAAAACAGGGACCCAGAGCUGUUAAGUGGCUCCCACAAAGUCACCCAACCAGGCUGGGCCAAACAGGGAUUGAUGGCCAGGUGUCCUGUCUCUAAGCAUCUCUGGGGUCUUGCUCUGCUGAGCUGAAAGUGAACUUUGAGGGUCAAAAUACUUUUUCCCAACCGUUUCCCAGGCUUAGCAGAAAGUAGAGGAAUGUUCUUGCAACCUAGCUGGAAAGGAAGCAAAGAAGGAUCAGGGUGAACCGCUGCAGGGCAGACCAGAGACAAAGAAGGGUCAGGGUGAACCGCCGCAGGGCAGACCACAGAGUCACAGAUCUUUCAUCUCCCUGCCACCACCGCCA